rnacentral:rRNA from 1 species
AGUCGAGCGGAAGGCCCUUCGGGGUACUCGAGCGGCGAACGGGUGAGUAACACGUGAGCAACCUGCCCCAGGCUUUGGGAUAACCCCGGGAAACCGGGGCUAAUACCGGAUAUUACAUGCUGCCGCAUGGUGGUGUGUGGAAAGUUUUUCGGCUUGGGAUGGGCUCGCGGCCUAUCAGCUUGUUGGUGGGGUGAUGGCCUACCAAGGCGACGACGGGUAGCCGGCCUGAGAGGGCGACCGGCCACACUGGGACUGAGACACGGCCCAGACUCCUACGGGAGGCAGCAGUGGGGAAUAUUGCACAAUGGGCGGAAGCCUGAUGCAGCGACGCCGCGUGAGGGAUGACGGCCUUCGGGUUGUAAACCUCUUUCAGCAGGGACGAAGCGUAAGUGACGGUACCUGCAGAAGAAGCGCCGGCCAACUACGUGCCAGCAGCCGCGGUAAGACGUAGGGCGCGAGCGUUGUCCGGAUUUAUUGGGCGUAAAGAGCUCGUAGGCGGCUUGUCGCGUCGACUGUGAAAACCCACAGCUCAACUGUGGGCUUGCAGUCGAUACGGGCAGGCUAGAGUUCGGUAGGGGAGACUGGAAUUCCUGGUGUAGCGGUGAAAUGCGCAGAUAUCAGGAGGAACACCGGUGGCGAAGGCGGGUCUCUGGGCCGAUACUGACGCUGAGGAGCGAAAGCGUGGGGAGCGAACAGGAUUAGAUACCCUGGUAGUCCACGCUGUAAACGUUGGGCGCUAGGUGUGGGGGGCCUCUCCGGUUCUCUGUGCCGCAGCUAACGCAUUAAGCGCCCCGCCUGGGGAGUACGGCCGCAAGGCUAAAACUCAAAGG